UACGUAGGAGGCAAGCGUUGUCCGGAAUCACUGGGCGUAAAGGGCGCGUAGGCGCCUUCUAAGUCGAACGUGAAAUCCCUGGGCUCAACCCAGGAACUGCGUCCGAUACUGGAAGGCUUGAAUCCGGGAGAGGGAUGCGGAAUUCCAGGUGUAGCGGUGAAAUGCGUAGAUAUCUGGAGGAACACCGGUGGCGAAGGCGGCAUCCUGGACCGGUAUUGACGCUGAGGCGCGAAAGCCAGGGGAGCAAAGCGGGAU
rnacentral:rRNA from 1 species